CUUGUGUCACAGAAGGAUGUUGGACUAGGUGGUGUUAAUUGCUCAUUCUCAGUCUAGAUGUCCAAGUUUCCAAGCAUCUUGGUUGCCAUUCUUGCUAGUUGCAACUGCACAUUGAGGGGGAAAGCAAGAACUAUGGCAUGAAGAGAAGAGUAAAAGAGUCUUCACCACGCUCUGGAAGAACAUCACUUCUAACUCUUCCAAUGAUCAUUAUAAUCCCAAUUUGGAGAAGAAAAAAAAAUCGGCCCUAACCUCAUUAGAUGUAUCUAGAAUUCAAACUACCUUGGAUGAGACUGAGGAGAAGAAGAAAAGCAAGAUAUACUUGUCAGUUAAAAAAAAAAAAAAAAGCUGUAUCAAGUCCACAGCGAACACACAGGCCAGCCUAGAAGGAACCACAUGGUUUCUUUGAAAUGCAGCGUGCGUAAGUAGACC
rnacentral:lncRNA from 1 species